rnacentral:lncRNA from 1 species
CUAAUACAUUUUGUGGUAGACCUACCAUGUGUUGAAUAUUAAAGUUUCAGUAGGUAUAACGUUAUAGUUUGAUGAACGAUAACAAGCUCCUUUUACAGUCAAGUAGGCUAUUUAUUGCUUUUACCGUGGUAAAGAUCAUUUCAGCCUUUAUAUUUAUAAUACAACAGAGCAAUCCGGCAUAAUUACAUUACGAGAGUAUGUUAACUCAACUCCAGUGUGCGUUAUUUAAAGAAAUUUUUUUUUCUCGCUGCCGACUUUGCAUCGAAAACUUUGUUUAUUUAUGUUAUUGGCAAUACAAAUAUUUGAGCUAUGCCAGAGCAAUCAGACAUCAGCUUCACAAGAAAAAUAGAUACUUUAAUAAGACAUCAUAAUACAAAACAUUUUGGGUCAGAUGGGCACAACAUAACAUAAAGGUCCUCACAGCUUUUGCAUUACUUCGUGCAAUUGGCUGUCAACGGUCAAUGCUGCUGAUUGGCGGCUCACUGGCAUGUCCCGCCUCCUGCCAGUGGCAUGUACUUCCUGAUGCCACAUGCCAGUUAAAGAUUGAACUCCCUCUCGAAUGGAUUCCCCAGGUAUGUUUGUUUCUGUGUGUGUCUGAAUUUCAUGAUGCAGACAGUUCCCACAUUGACAUCUGUACUCUUCAUUCUGCAGGCUACUGUGCACAGUACUGCACAUACACAACCAUCGAGCAAGAUUCAAGGGACAUUGUGCAUAUUGUGACUGUUGACAAGUGGGAAAUUGACCCACCCUCAGAUAACGGCAUUCCUUAAUCCAGAGCGUGGCAAAUAUAAGGCUUGGGGACUCCGACAUUCUCUUGACAUCUGGCAUGCCGCAAAGAAUUUGGGCAAAAAGCUACGACGGGUAUGCCAUUUACAAAACCUAUUUUACACUCUCAAAUAAGAUUAAUUGUAAUCUCAAUGUUGUGCAAAAUAUUGGAUUUUCACAUGUCCACACCUUACUGUCUUAGCAAGAAUAAUAACCUGGAGUAGCAUCUAGUUGUGAGAAGUUUGUCACUGACGGGGCCUUUUUGGCUUCUGUAUGCAUUUUUCGGGACAACUUCAGAUUUGGGGAAUUUCCAAAAUCAUAUACUGAUGUAUGCAGGAAAGUGGUUUAUCUACAGCCGACUUGUACACAAAACGCGGACAUUGCUUGCAACAAUUGAUUACAGCUACCACAACCACCGCCUUCUUGCACGUAGCAGUGAUGGACACAGGAUGUAAGUGUUUGUUAUAACAGUUGUGUACUACCAAAAAUAAAUCAUUAGUUCUUACCUAAACA